CUAUUUUCAUGAAGUAGUCAAAGAGAUCAAGAGAUGUCUUAAGACAGUAAUGCCACAAGAUGGCGACAGAGGGCAGCUCCUCAACAAGUGUCCUCCACACUCUCUCAUAUGAGCACAGAUGGAUUUGGUGUGCGUAAUGUUGGACCCACUGGUAAGACAAACACCCUUUUCCACAAAUAAAGACACUCACAUAAAGUUGCUCAUAUUCAAACCUCACGUGACAAAGGUGGGUUGAGCGCACAGAUCACAACAUAAACUCCAAAAAUGGCAUUAAAAUCGGAACCAUCUGUGCGUAAAUGACGCAUCGCGCUCCGUGGCCUGGCUCUUUCUUUCAUAGAUGUUGGCAUAUAAAAAAAUUUGGCCCACAAAACUGAAUAUUAUAAUAUCCGCAUGUCGGCUUAGAGUAGAUCACGCAUCUGAGCACUGAAACAAAUCAUCUGUUCAGCUGCAGCAGCAGCAAGACAGACAGAGGACACAGAGACGUGUCCAGGUCGAGCUGUGCGAGAAAUAAGAGGAAGAGGAAGAAAGAAAAGGAGGGAGACACAUUACAUAUCUUGUUAACUUCAUCAUGUGUGUUUAUUUACUAGAUAUUUAAUUUAAUUUGAUGCGGUUUCAGCUGUGUUGAUUCGGUCAGGUUGUGUGUCCAAACGCGUGCCAAACGCGCUCAUCAGAUCAGAUAUAGAUCAGAAUAUAUCUAUAUAGAUCUAAAUGUAUGUGCUGACUCAGAUUAUUAGUUGUUGAUGAUUAUUUAUUGCACUGAAAUCUGCCUGACACUGUGGAAACCUGCCGGUGAGGCAUCAGUGACGUAUGUCGAUACGCCGCUGGUCUACCAAAAUACUACUAGACCAGCUGCGUUCCGCCUUGCGCUGAAAGCUGACCAGGUUUGAAUCGGCGAGCUUUCAGCGCACUUUACACGCCGUUGGCGAGCACGAAAAUGUCACUGCGCCAGCUGAUUCUGUCGACACCUCCCUCUGCCACGCCACCACGCCCAGCUUGGC